GCUCACCAGAGUGCCGCCUGCUCUGCACCUGGGUCCUGGGGCCCUUCUCCACCCGGGGGCAGGGGCACCAGCGCCACCUCGGAUGUACGGAGGAAGCCUGACAAAGAGGAGACGCUGUUUGCUACAAUCACAAGGAUAGAUGCUAGACCCUCCUCCUUGGCCCACCUGUGCCCCACCUGUGCCCCACCCCACUCUGCCCAGAAGUGCAAGAGCC